GAUGAACGCGGCGGCGUGCCUAAUACAUGCAAGUAGAACGCUGAGCUUGGUGCUUGCACCGAGCGGAUGAGUUGCGGACGGGUGAGUCACGCGUAGGUAACCUGCCUCUUAGCGGGGGAUAACUAUUGGAAACGAUAGCUAAUACCGCAUAAAAGUCGAUAUCGCAUGAUGUUGAUUUGAAAGGUGCAAUUGCAUCACUAAGAGAUGGACGUGCGUUGUAUUAGCUAGUUGGUGAGGUAACGGCUCACCAAGGCAACGAUACAUAGCCGACCUGAGAGGGUGAUCGGCCACACUGGGACUGAGACACGGCCCAGACUCCCCCCCGGAGGCAGCAGUAGGGAAUCUUCGGCAAUGGGGGCAACCCUGACCGAGCAACGCCGCGUGAGUGAAGAAGGUUUUCGGAUCGUAAAGCUCUGUUGUAAGAGAAGAACGAGUGUGAGAGUGGAAAGUUCACACUGUGACGGUAACUUACCAGAAAGGGACGGCUAACUACGUGCCAGCAGCCGCGGUAAUACGUAGGUCCCGAGCGUUAUCCGGAUUUAUUGGGCGUAAAGCGAGCGCAGGCGGUUAGAUAAGUCUGAAGUUAAAGGCUGUGGCUUAACCAUAGUACGCUUUGGAAACUGUUUAACUUGAGUGCAGAAGGGGAGAGUGGAAUUCCAUGUGUAGCGGUGAAAUGCGUAGAUAUAUGGAGGAACACCGGUGGCGAAAGCGGCUCUCUGGUCUGUAACUGACGCUGAGGCUCGAAAGCGUGGGGAGCAAACAGG
rnacentral:rRNA from 1 species